GACACAUUGUGAAGGGACUUCCACGAACAAACAGCAUUGGGAAUGACACAAGUAAUAUUUUACUAUAAUGGAACAUCCUGGCUGGAGCUCGGUUGGCCUCCUGUCCUCCUUGGCUGGUCACAGAGGCAGGGAGUGCUUUGCUGUGUUGGGUCAGGAACAAAACAUCAGGACUGGGGGCAGUGUUUGGGUCCACUUCUUGGUGUCUUUCAUGUGAGGAAAGUGAAUGGUUAACCCGUUGCCCAUCCUUGGCAUUCCUGAACCCUCUGUUCCUGCAUGGGACUUUCCUGCUGAAUUUUGCCAGCCAAGCUAAAAGUCUCAUAGCAAAGGCAAGGAACAUACAAAGUCCAGGUGAUGCAUUAAGCAGUGAAAACUAAGUUCAUACAGGUGCUUUACAAAGACUACGCCCACAUGCAAAUAUGUCUCCCCAAAGAGCUCAGAUUCAUGGCUAAUGAGACACUGCCCAGAGCCUUGGCCAGAUGGUGUCUCAGAGCUAAAAAAAGGGCAGGGUCAGAGGUCCAGAAGAGCUUUGUGAAGCAGGUGCACAUUGACCAGGUCGGGAUGCUCCUGCCCAUCCAACCUCUUAAUGACAGCAGGGUCAAAGUAACAUGGUUCAAGAGACUGUGAAGUGGUGGUAUCACAGCUAUCUUUGGCAAGAAAAAUCUGCUGUACCAGCUUUGGCCAAUGUCGGGAGCAAUGUUACAUAAUUUUAGGGAAAAAUCAUUUGGAUAGCCUAGUUCUCCUGCCUACAGCCCAGCUAUGGGAUUCUGAGACACAAUUCCAUUUUGGCCUCCGGUCACAACUGAGACCUCAAUGAUCCAGUGAUGCUGUGAUUCUCCACGACAAGAUUACACCAGCUGAAGACAUCCUGGGAGGAACAAAAUCUUCACCUACUCAGUUCCUCAUUGUUCUUGGAUUGUUACAUCUUGUUUACGUCGAUGUACUGAACUCUCUGCAAGUUGUUUGUUACAUCUUGUUUACGCGGAUGUACUGAACUCUCUGUCCCGAGUCAUUUGUUACAUGUGUUUCUCCUGAUGUACUGAAUAAAAGGUGCGGUAAACUGGGGGCUUUCGUCUUUGCCGCCCAGAGCGGCACUGAUCAGACCCAAAGCUCAGCUUCUUCUCAAAGUCUCAUUUUUCUACCUUUCCUGUAAUUCACCUUGUGCUGCUGUGACUCACAGGAGACUAGGACAUACUGCAGAGGUUCUAGUAACGUCCCCUUUUCCUGUUCCCUACAGGCCAAUUAAGAGCUUCAUGGGAAGCUCAGAAAGUGGGAGUGGAAAUAAAUCAUUGAGGGUCAUUCUUGGGUUUCCCAACUUAAAAUUCCUAAGUACACUAAAUUUUGCCCAUUUAUUUUUAAUUGGGAAAAUAAGAAACAUUGAUUUGGAGAGAACUAGCUUUAUUCCAGAAGAGAAGAGCCUGCUGCUGUGAACUUCCUGUUGGCAGUGAAAGCAGAGGAGGCAGCAAACAGGAGCAUCUGCAGUGUCUGUGAGGACCCAAAAUUGGCCAUGGUAGUUUUUAGGAAGAAGCUACUGAAAGCCAGUUUUCCUAAAACAUAAUCAUGCUGGUCAGAUUUGGGUACAAGGAAAGAAAUCAGGGAGGGUGGCUCCAUAGAAGGGGGCUCAUUGUGAGGGGGGCACAAAGGCCACAGAGGAAGGCUGAGGCCACAGUGCAGGAGGACUGGCAUGAGGACUUUAUUUUAACAGUUGCUUGGUAGUUCUCAUGGGGGGAGCUCUCUGCUUUUCUCUGAACAAAGAUGGGAUCUUUGUUCUUCUCUUGGUCACCAAUGUCUACUCCUUACU
ensembl:lncRNA